rnacentral:rRNA from 1 species
GAUAAACGCUGGCGGCGCACAUAAGACAUGCAAGUCGAACGGAAGUCGUUAUACAAGGAGAGAAGAUUUAUCGGAUUGAAUUAUAUAACAAUGGCUUUAGUGGCGGACUGGUGAGUAACGCGUAAGAAAUCUACCUAUCAGAGGGGAACAACAAUGAGAAAUCAUUGCUAAUACCGCAUAUGCCAUAAACAUCGCAUGAUGAAAGUGGGAAAGGAGCAAUCCGCUGAUAGAUGAUCUUGCGUCUGAUUAGUUAGUUGGUGGGGUAAUGGCCUACCAAGACGACGAUCAGUAGCCGGACUGAGAGGUUGAACGGCCACAUUGGGACUGAGAUACGGCCCAGACUCCUACGGGAGGCAGCAGUCGGGAAUAUUGCGCAAUGGAGGAAACUCUGACGCAGUGACGCCGCGUGCAGGAAGAAGGUUUUCGGAUUGUAAACUGCUUUAGACAGGGAAGAGAAAGGAUAGUACCUGUAGAAUAAGCUCUGGCUAACUACGUGCCAGCAGCCGCGGUAAUACGUAGGGAGCGAGCGUUAUCCGGAUUUAUUGGGUGUAAAGGGUGCGUAGACGGGAAUACAAGUUAGUUGUGAAAUACCUCGGCUUAACUGAGGAACUGCAACUAAAACUAUAUUUCUUGAGUGCAGGAGAGGUAAGUGGAAUUCCUAGUGUAGCGGUGAAAUGCGUAGAUAUUAGGAGGAACACCAGUGGCGAAGGCGACUUACUUGACUGAAACUGACGUUGAGGCACGAAAGUGUGGGGAGCAAACAGGAUUAGAUACCCUGGUAGUCCACACCGUAAACGAAGGAUACUAGGUGUAGGAGAUAUUAAGUCUUCUGUGCCGUCGCAAACGCAGUAAGUAUCCCACCUGGGGAGUACGGCCGCAAGGUUGAAACUCAAAGGAAUUGACGGGGGCCCGCACAAGCAGUGGAGUAUGUGGUCUAAUUCGAAGCAACGCGAAGAACCUUACCAGGGCUUGACAUAUAGAUGAAUAUAUAAGAGAUUAUAUAGCUUUUCGGAGCAUCUAUACAGGUGGUGCAUGGUUGUCGUCAGCUCGUGUCGUGAGAUGUUGGGUUAAGUCCCGCAACGAGCGCAACCCCUGUUUCUAGUUGCCAGCAUGUAAAGAUGGGAACUCUAGAAAGACUGCCGUAGAUAAUACGGAGGAAGGUGGGGAUGACGUCAAAUCAUCAUGCCCCUUAUGACCUGGGCUACACACGUGCUACAAUGGCCACGACAGAGAGAAGCGAAUUCGAGAGGAAGAGCGGAUCUCAAAAAAGUGGUCCCAGUUCGGAUUGUGGGCUGCAACCCGCCCACACGAAGUCGGAGUUGCUAGUAAUCGCGGAUCAGCAUGCCGCGGUGAAUAAAAUCCCGGGCCUUGCACA